UAUGGGCGCCGGUUCCAAUCCCAGCAGCCCCACUUCCCUUCCAGCUCCCUGCCUGUGGCCUGGGAAAGCAGAAGACGGCCCAAAGCCUUGGGACCCUGCACCCAUAUG